rnacentral:rRNA from 1 species
UGGGGAAUUUUGGACAAUGGACGCAAGUCUGAUCCAGCCAUGCCGCGUGCGGGAAGAAGGCCUUCGGGUUGUAAACCGCUUUUGUCGGGGAAGAAACGAGUUUCUCUAAUACAGAGACUUAAUGACGGUACCUGAAGAAUAAGCACCGGCUAACUACGUGCCAGCAGCCGCGGUAAUACGUAGGGUGCGAGCGUUAAUCGGAAUUACUGGGCGUAAAGCGUGCGCAGGCGGUUAUAUAAGACAGAUGUGAAAUCCCCGGGCUCAACCUGGGAACUGCCUUUGUGACUGCAUAGCUAGAGUACGGUAGAGGGGGAUGGAAUUCCGCGUGUAGCAGUGAAAUGCGUAGAUAUGCGGAGGAACACCGAUGGCGAAGGCAAUCCCCUGGACCUGUACUGACGCUCAUGCACGAAAGCGUGGGGAGCAAACA